UAUCCGGAAUUAUGGGGCGUAAAGCGCCUGUAGGUUGUUUAUUAAGUCUGUUGUUAAAGACUAGGGCUUAACCCUAGAAAAGCAAUGGAAACUAAUAGACUAGAGUAUGGCAGGGGUAAAGGGAAUUUCUAGUGUAGCGGUGAAAUGCGUAGAUAUUAGAAAGAACACCAGUGGCGAAGGCGCUUUACUGGACCAUUACUGACACUGAGAGGCGAAAGCUAGGGUAGUAAAAGGGAUUAGAUACCCCUGUAGUCCUAGCCGUAAACGAUGGAUACUAGAUGUUGUACGUUUGUACAGUAUUGUAGCUAACGCGUUAAGUAUCCCGCCUGGGGAGUACGCUCGCAAGGGUGAAACUCAAAGGAAUUGACGGGGGCCCGCACAAGCGGUGGAGCAUGUGGUUUAAUUCGAUGCAACGCGAAGAACCUUACCAGGGCUUGACAUACUACGAAUCUUUUUGAGAAAGAGGAGUGCCUUAGGGAACGUAGAUACAGGUGGUGCAUGGCUGUCGUCAGCUCGUGUCGUGAGAUGUUGGGUUAAGUCCCGCAACGAGCGCAACCCUUAUUUUUAGUUACCAAUUCGUUGGGUUUUUUAGAAAGACUGCCGGUGACAAACCGGAGGAAGGUGAGGAUGACGUCAAGUCAGCAUGCCCCUUAUGUCCUGGGCUACACACGUGCUACAAUGGUUAAGACAAAGAGUCGCAAGCUCGCGAGAGUAAGCUAAUCUCAUAAACUUAGCCUAAGUUCAGAUUGUAGGCUGCAACUC
rnacentral:rRNA from 1 species